CGAUGCGCAGAAACCCCCGGCGGCUUCCCAAGGCCGGUGCGGCAUCCCCCUCCCCCCCGACAGGAGGAGAAAGUGAGUCCCGAGGGGUCGGGGAGACUGAGGUCCGCCGCGAUUCCAGGCCCCGCUCCUGGGUGCGGGCCCGGCCCCUCCCCCAGAUGACGACCACUCGGGAUGCGUGUCCCCGAGAAUGGGGCUCCGGGUCUGAUCCCCCGCGCGCGGGGAUAGCUAGUGUCCCGCCACCUACCAGAAGCGGGUCCGGCGACGCGCGCUCUGGCCGAGUGCUGCAGCGAGUGGUGCGGGGCCGUGUGAUUUUCACGCACACACCCACCUCCGGCUCCCGGCCUCGAAUGCCCCAGACCCCUUCAUUGGUUGCCUACGAAGUGACUUUGUGAGCGUUAACCCAUUUUCUUGUCCACAGCCUUAAGGCGUUGCAGGCUCUGGGGCUCUCUUGGAAGCAGAUGGGGACUCUCCGUUGGACGGCUUUGGGGACUGUGCGUCAGGCAGCACGCCCGUUCCUGCAGGACCCCGAUCGGUGGCGCCUGAUGUGCCCCCGCUGUGCCCAGGGGGCGAGGCCUGGGUGAGCCCACCAUGUGCAGAGGCAUCAUGGGAGCUGCAUCAGGAACAUUCUAGACCCCAGUGUCCUCGAGCCGGAAGAAGGAUGAGAGCUGACAUUGGAAACCAGACACUUGUUGGGACCAUCUGCUCUGUGGCAUCCUCCUCCCCCUAGAGAUGCUGCCUGGGAUCCAGAGCUUGUUGGAGGAAUCCUUACGGGGACGGAGACACUGGUCCUCUCAGGAUGACCUGGGUCCCAGCUGCCUCGGAGGGACCUCCUCAUGAUUAUUUCGUAGCUGAUCACGGACGCCGGCUGAGUGAAGAAUGAUGUUGCCAUGUGAACUGUUGCCAGACCUUCUUAUACCCUGUUGCCUCAGCACCACACGGAGGGACUUUUCUCUCUGCGUGAGCAGUCCAGAGGAAGAGUCCUGGGACCCUGGAGAUCGAGGUCCAGAGCUAGAGACGUCAGCUGGCUCUGCUGCUCCCCUAGCAGGUGUCACACAGCGCCGUGCACCAGGAAGGCUGGCUCCUUCCGCCUGAGCUGGGGGUCCAGCCCACUGCACGUCCUGCUGCCCACGGCACCUGUAGCUUUUUACAACCAAGAGUUUUCCGCACUCUGGGGCCUUGUCCCCUCACCCACUCAAUAAAUCCUGAAACUGCCCUC